UACGAAGGGGGCUAGCGUUGCUCGGAAUCACUGGGCGUAAAGCGCACGUAGGCGGCUUUCUAAGUCAGGGGUGAAAAUCCUGGAGCUCAACUCCAGAACUGCCUUUGAUACUGGAGAGCUUGAGUCCGGGAGAGGUGAGUGGAACUCCGAGUGUAGAGGUGAAAUUCGUAGAUAUUAGGAAGAACACCAGUGGCGAAGGCGGCUCUCUGGGACGGUACUGACGCUGAGACGCGAAAGCGUGGGGAGCGAACAGG
rnacentral:rRNA from 1 species